GAUGAACGCUGGCGGCGUGCCUAAUACAUGCAAGUCGAACGAAACUUCUUUAUCACCGAGUGCCUGCACUCACCGAUAAAGAGUUGAGUGGCGAACGGGUGAGUAACACGUGGGCAGCCUGCCCAAAAGAGGGGGAUAACACUUGGAAACAGGUGCUAAUACCGCAUAACCAUAGUUACCGCAUGGUAACUAUGUAAAAGGUGGCUAUACUACCGCUUUUGGAUGGGCCCGCGGCGCAUUAGCUAGUUGGUAGGGUAAAGGCUUACCAAGGCAAUGAUGCGUAGCCGAAUUGAGAGGUUGAUCGGCCACAUUGGGACUGAGACACGGCCCAAACUCCUACGGGAGGCAGCAGUAGGGAAUCUUCCACAAUGGGCGAAAGCCUGAUGGAGCAACGCCGCGUGGGUGAAGAAGGUCUUCGGAUCGUAAAACCCUGUUGUUAGAGAAGAAAGUGCGUGAGAGUAACUGUUCACGUUUCGACGGUAUCUAACCAGAAAGCCACGGCUAACUACGUG
rnacentral:rRNA from 1 species